rnacentral:tRNA from 1 species
GGGGAUUUAGCUCAGUGGUAGAGCGCUUGCCUAGCAAGCACAAGGCCGUAGGUUCGGUCCCCA